UUUUUUUUUUGGUUUUGCAGUGCUCUUGUUUCUUCUUCGUUUGCUCUGGAAAAAAGAAAUGGGUGCCCUCGCUCAUGUUUCCGUUUCAGAUGAAGAGGAAGAACGGAACAAAAAACUUCUAGAAGCUGGGAAUGAGCUUCUUCAGCAGCCUACUUCUUCUUCUUCUACAGAGGAGCUUCUGGAGAAGCUUGAUAAUUUAGAGCAUCUUUUGUCAAUGGUGAAACAAGUUCCCCCUGCAUCAGCACGAG
rnacentral:misc_RNA from 1 species